AGUGUUAAACGAAUGCUCUAAGCAAACGGUUCACUGGAGUUGUAGGUUUUUACAAGCAAAACCCCUUGAAGUGUGAGCGAAACACGAGAAUAUGAUUUAAUUUUUAUACACUAAAUAUAAUGCUGCUUCUUUUUUUUCGAUUUCGUUUAAGCCGCAUAAAUCACUGAAACGCGCACCUUAUUGCAGAUUUAUUCUUCAAAAAUUGGUGUGAAACAAAUGGGGUUAAAAGUUGUUCAAACAAAGGGGAAUUUGAAAGGCUUAAGCACAGACACACAUUAUAAUAGACCUUCAUAAAUGCCACAAUACAUCAUUUAAGCACACAUAGUGAUUUUCAAAAAGCUGCUCGUGAACUAAGGGUUUAAGUACUAACUAAAACAGUAAGGGAUAAGCUUUGAAUACAGAUUAUAAAACAGUUAAUGGGCCCUAAAUUUAUUUAUUGUUUACUUAUCGAAUAAUGCAUGCAAUUAUCACGUAAUUUAUAGCCAACAAAAAGAGAUUCACAACCUUAGGUAAAUAAUUUGAGAUUUUACGUUGUUCCAGAAAAAGCGAAAACUGGAGUCAAAGCGGCUUAAAGUAUCAGCCAUCAUCAAUCUGCAGCGCUAGACAAAUGGAAUAUUUACAUUUCGAUUUAGAAUCGUUGCCAAAAAGCAGCUGACAGCUUUGCAAAUAUUUUUUGUUUAAAGCGGAAUAAAAGUGCUGAAUGGCAAACAUUUUGUUUAAAAUCAUUUUAACUCUAUACGAAUACGAAUGUGCUACAAAUCUUUAAGUCUAUCAAGAAAACCGCUGAACAGCGAACGGCAAUUGAAAUUGGCAAUGGCUGAGGAUAGGGCAAAAUAAAACCCCAAUUGAUUUAAAAUCCAGCCAAUAAAACUGCAACAAAAGCGAAGCAAAGUGAAAGCAAACAAGUUGCUUGCACGCCGAUAAAAUCAAAGGAAAAUGGGGGAGAAAUUUUAAAUAAAUUCGCGACGAGGUGAGGGUUCGGUGGAAAAGCACGCGGAAAAACAAUAAGAAACCGAAAGCUGCAAAUAUAAAAUCUAAAAUUGACCAUAAACCCAACGGUGGCCCAGAAAUGAAGAUAAGCGGCGAACGCGAAAAGGAAAACACCAAAUUGAUAUACGCUCCCUUUGUUUUUUGGGUCUGUGGAUGCUCAAUUUUUGCCAGGACGAGCCGUAAUUUGCUGGGAGGAUUCGGGCGAGAUGGCAGUGUCAUCAUAAUAAUUUAAAGUGGAACUGAUAAUCUUUGGCAGGCAAAAGUGUCCUUAGCUGGCAGGAAAAGUCGAAAAGGUGGCUGCAAACUGAAGGCGAAAGUGCUUAAAUAAAGCUGUUUUUGUUGCGUUCGCUUUGCGAGUAUCUCAGCCAUCUUUGGUAUUUUGGUUGCCAAAAUGUUCGCCAGCAUUUUCCAGAGACAAAACUCAUGUCACUCUGCUGAUGUUCAAGCUGUUGGCUUUUCGGGAACAACAUAAGUUUAGUUUAUUAUCAGUUUUAUGCUAAUCGAAUUGAAGACACUUGACACAGCUGUCACUGCCAGUUAAAGUUGCAAAUUUUAAC
ensembl:ncRNA lncRNA:CR45706 long non-coding RNA:CR45706